rnacentral:tRNA from 1 species
ACCUGGUUGGCUCAGUCAGAAGAACGUGUGACUCUUGAUCUUAAGGUUGUGAGUUCAAGCCCCACACUGGGUG